GCCGGCACGGUGGCGCGUGCCUGUAGUCCCAGCUACUCAGGAGGCUGAGGUGGAAGGAUCCCUUGAGCCCAAGAGUUCUGGGCUGUAGUGCGCUAUGCCAAUUGGAUGUCCGCACUAAGUUCGGCAUCAAUAUGGUGACCUCCCGGGAGCGGGGGACCACCAGGUUGUCUAAAGAGGGGUGAACAGGCCCAGGUUGGAAACAGAGCAGGUCAAAACUCCUGUGCUGAUCAAUAGUGGGAUCGCACCUGUGAACAGCCACUGCACUCCAGCCUGGGCAACAUAGCGAGACCCCGUCUCUU
ensembl:misc_RNA Metazoa_SRP Metazoan signal recognition particle RNA